UUGGAGGGCAAGUCUGGUGCCAGCAGCCGCGGUAAUUCCAGCUCCAAUAGCGUAUAUUAAAGUUGUUGCAGUUAAAAAGCUCGUAGUUGAAUUUCGGGGUUAGUAAGUUGGUCAUGCCAUUGGUAUGCACUGGCUUUACUGAUUCCUCCUUCUUGACGAACCGUGAUGUCAUUAAUUUGGUGUUGCGGGAAAUCAGGACUGUUACUUUGAAAAAAUUAGAGUGUUUAAAGCAGGCUAACGCUUGAAUACAUUAGCAUGGAAUAAUGAAAUAGGACGUUAAUCCUAUUUUGUUGGUUUCUAGGAUCGACGUAAUGAUUAAUAGGGAUAGUUGGGGGCAUUAGUAUUCAAUUGUCAGAGGUGAAAUUCUUGGAUUUAUUGAAGACUAACUACUGCGAAAGCAUUUGCCAAGGAUGUUUUCAUUAAUCAAGAACGAAAGUUAGGGGAUCGAAGACGAUCAGAUACCGUCGUAGUCUUAACCAUAAACUAUGCCGACUAGGGAUCGGAUGAUGUUAAUUCUUUAAUGACUCAUUCGGCGCCUUACGGGAAAC
rnacentral:rRNA from 1 species